rnacentral:rRNA from 1 species
GAUGAACGCUGGCGGCGUGCAUAACACAUUCAAGUCGAACGGACGAGUUUCCUUCGGGGAACGAGUUAGUGGCGGACGGGUGAGUAACGCGUGAGCAACCUGCCUUGUUGAGGGGAAUAACGUUUGGAAACGAACGCUAAUACCGCAUAGACGAAGACAUCGCAUGAUGACUUCGGGAAAGGAGCAAUCCGCAACGAGAUGGGCUCGCGUCUGAUUAGAUAGUUGGUGGGGUAACGGCCUACCAAGUCAACGAUCAGUAGCCGGACUGAGAGGUUGAACGGCCACAUUGGAACUGAGAUACGGUCCAGACUCCUACGGGAGGCAGCAGUGGGGAAUAUUGGGCAAUGGGCGAAAGCCUGACCCAGCGACGCCGCGUGAAGGAAGAAGGUCUUCGGAUUGUAAACCUCUGUCUUCAGGGACGAUAAUGACGGUACCUGAGGAGGAAGCUCCGGCUAACUACGUG